ensembl:lncRNA
UACUGGCGAGGCUCUUAUUUUGAAGAGUUCUGAUAUCCGGUUGCUGCAGUUGUUGAAAAGCUUCAGUCAAAAGGUCAACCCGUCAGUCAACAGAAGUCACUCCAUCCUGUGACACCCUGUGCUCUGCUCACAGAGGUAGUUAGUGAAUUAGUUAGCAGGUUCAGCCGCUGGUUCCCUCUUUUUUUCUCCGUGCUGAGCCGAUGCUCGCGGUGCAGCAUCGAGGCUGUUAGCCGUUAGCAUGCAGUGUGCUAACCUGCUGAAGAAGAGGAGCCUGCAGGAGGAAGAGCAGCUGUGGAGCUGCACCGCGAAACGCAGGUGUUUGGGGGCGGAGCUUCGGGUGGUCGACUGUCCAAUGGAAACCUCCCCCAGUCCCGUCCUGACCAAUCAGCAGCAGGAGCAGCAGGUGGGUGUGGUCUGGGGCAGAGUCCCUGCACUCUGCUGCCCCCGCUGUCGUAAUGGAGAACCGGGCCACAUCAAUCACAUCCUGAGCCUGGGCCACUGAUCAGCUGAUCAGCCACACUCCUGCAACAAGACCAGAACCAGCCAGGCUCCGUGUCUCGCUCCCGUCCAGUCAGACGUUUCUGUCUCCUGAACUACGCCCCCCUUUCAGUCACUCCUGGUGGAAACCACUCACUGACCUCUGUGUUGUUGUUGUUGUUUUUUAUCUCCAGCCACUGAGGACUUUGUGGUUCUUUUGGUUUAUGUGCUGUUUUCACGUGUGCCUUCAAGGGACUGUCUGUGCUUCACACCGCCACCUAGUGGCCCCAUCUGACAACUACAGCAUUAACGUUUACUACCUUCUUAUCUAAAGAAACACCUCAGAUGUAUCCACUGAUGCAUCAUGGGAGAUGCAGUUUACAGUUUUAAUGAUUUAACUAUUGCUUCGGGCUGCCUAAUAACUUAAAAUUGAAAAAGAUAAGAUUAUCUUGAAUAGUUGACACCAGGUAAAGUCCCACCUCUGCUGUCUGACCAGAUUGCUUUUAUAUGAGGAAAGAGUGUCUGAUUUUGUUUUGAGGUGCUCUAAAUGGAGUACACAAAUCAGUGUGUUGCGUUUAAUGCGUGCACACAAAUGAGCCAGUAUUUCAAUUGUAGCUGCAGUAUGUUUCAUGAAUGUGGUUUUAUAUACACGCGUAAGGUGUAAAGUUUUUAAAAGACUCGGCACUCUGGUGUGGAGUGUCUCGACGAUGCAUUCAAGUCUUCCCGCUGGUAAAUUUCUAUUUUUCUGAUUGACAUUUUUACUUUUUUAAUCCAAGCCGAUGUUGAACAGCAUUUGUACCGAUUUGAAAAUAAAGCACAGACAUUAAUGGACUUUAGACUGUUUAUUAGAGA